GGAUGUCUCGAUUACCGUGUA
rnacentral:siRNA from 1 species